rnacentral:tRNA from 1 species
AGAAGCUUAGGAUAACAA